UACGGAGGGUGCAAGCGUUGUUCGGAUUUACUGGGCGUAAAGGGCGCGUAGGCGGCCGAUCAAGUCAGGGGUGAAAGCCUGUGGCUCAACCACAGAAUUGCCUUCGAUACUGUUUGGCUUGAGACCGGAAGAGGUUAGUGGAACUGCGAGUGUAGAGGUGAAAUUCGUAGAUAUCAAGAGGAACACCUGAGGUGAAGACGGGUUGCUGGGCUGAUACUGACGCUGAGGCGCGAAAGCUAGGGUAGCAAACGGG
rnacentral:rRNA from 1 species